rnacentral:tRNA from 1 species
GCGCACGUGGCGUAAUGGUAGCCGCGCCAGACUUAGGAUCUGGUGUCUUCGACGGUGGGGGUUCGAGUCCCCCCGUGCGCACCA